rnacentral:rRNA from 1 species
GGGUCAGUAGGUUGGUCGUGCCACCGGUACGUACUGGUCUCACUGAUUCCUCCUUCCUGAAGAACCGUAAUGCCAUUAAUUUGGUGUUGCGGGGAAACAGGACUGUUACUUUGAAAAAAUUAGAGUGUUUAAAGCAAACUAACGCUUGAAUACAUUAGCAUGGGAUAAUGAAAUAGGACGAUCGAUCCUAUUUUGUUGGUUUCUAGGAUUGACGUA